GAUGAACGCUGGCGGCGUGCCUAAUACAUGCAAGUCGAGCGAAUGGAUUAAGAGCUUGCUCUUAUGAAGUUAGCGGCGGACGGGUGAGUAACACGUGGGUAACCUGCCCAUAAGACUGGGAUAACUCCGGGAAACCGGGGCUAAUACCGGAUAACAUUUUGAACCGCAUGGUUCGAAAUUGAAAGGCGUCUGCGGCUGUCCCUUAUGGAUGGACCCGCGUCGCAUUAGCUAGUUGGGGAGGUAACGGCUCACCAAGGCAACGAUGCGUAGCCGACCUGAGAGGGUGAUCGGCCACACUGGGACUGAGACACGGCCCAGACUCCUACGGGAGGCAGCAGUAGGGAAUCUUCCGCAAUGGACGAAAGUCUGACGGGGCAACGCCGCGUGAGUGAUGAAGGCUUUCGGGUCGUAAAACUCUGUUGUUAGGGAAGAACAAGUGCUAGUUGAAUAAGCUGGCACCUUGACGGUACCUAACCAGAAAGCCACGGCUAACUACGUGCCAGCAGCCGCCGUAA
rnacentral:rRNA from 1 species